rnacentral:lncRNA from 1 species
GCCAAGACUAAGUCCACUACGGAACGAUUCCUCGGAGAUAUUCUUGAUGGGAGGAUAUCUUCUGAGAUCUCAUCUCAUCGUAGACCCUCUGCUCUCGCCUAUUAAAGGACAGGAUCUCUAGGGGUUGUUAAGGGUGGUUAGUGUGUUAGAGCGUCGCAUCUCUCCGUUGAGGAAUUCAGUUAUUCUCCUCGACUCUCUCCCCCAAAACCCUCUCCCCAAAUCCAUCAAUUUGUGUGAUCCUGUGAAAGGAUAGGAAGAGAGGAGAAAGGGUCUACUCUUCGCACUCUCUGCAGAUUCCGCAGCGCGAUCGGAUUAAAGACGGAGCGCAGCAAUCUUGGAUCACGGUGCUGAGCAGAUCAAACAAGAUCUCUGAACGGAUGGCAUCAAAAGGUACGCAUCGUAUAAUUAGAUCUAUGUAUUGAAUUUCAAAUCCUGGCAUAUAGGUUAAUUCCGCAUUAUUGAUUUAGCAUAAUUACAGAUUUUU